rnacentral:rRNA from 1 species
UACGUAGGGUGCAAGCGUUGUCCGGAAUUAUUGGGCGUAAAGAGCUCGUAGGCGGUCUGUCGCGUCUGCUGUGAAAACUCGGGGCUUAACCCCGGGCCUGCAGUGGGUACGGGCAGACUAGAGUGCGGUAGGGAGACUGGAAUUCCUGGUGUAGCGGUGAAAUGCGCAGAUAUCAGGAAGAACACCCGUGGCGAAGGCGGCUCUCUGGGACGGUACUGACGCUGAGACGCGAAAGCGUGGGGAGCGAACAGG